UAGGGAAUUUUUCACAAUGAGCGAAAGUUGGUGCAGUCUGCCGCGUGAACGAUGAAGGUCUUUAAGAUUGUUAAGUUCUUUUAUUUGGGCUAAUGACUUUAGCAGUCCAUGGCUAGAGCUUGACUGUACCAUUUUGAAACAGUGACGACUAACUAUGUGCCAGCCGUCGCGGACAUACAUAGGUCGCAAGCGUUAUCCGGAUUUAUUGUGCGUAAAGCAAGCGCAGCCGGAUUGAAAAGUCUGGUGAUAAAGGAAGCUGCUUAACAAUUGUAUGCAUUGCAAACUAUNAAUCUAGAGCGUGGAAGGGAGUUUUGGAAUUUCAUGUGGAGCGGUGAAAUGCGUAGAUAUAUGACGGAACACCAGUCGCGAAGGCGAAAACUUAGGCCAUUACUGACGCUUAGNCUUGAAAGUGUGUCGAGCACAUAGGAUUAGAUACCCUAGUAGUCGACACCGAAAACGAUAGANACUANNNUCGGUUNCAAACCCCUCGGUAGUGAAGUUAACACAUUAAGUAUCUCGCCUGGGUAGUACAUUCGCAAGAAUG
rnacentral:rRNA from 1 species